UAGAGUGAGGGAGGGGGUGACUAGUGACAGAGAGAGGGAGGGGGUGACUAGUGACAGAGUGAGGGAGGUGGUGAUUAGUGACAGAGGGCGGGAUGGGGUGACUAGUGACAGUCACCACCUCCUUCACUCUGUCACUGUGUCACCCCCUUCCUCACUCUGUCACUGUGUCACCCCCUUCCUCACUCUCACUAGUCACCCACUCCCUUCCUCACUCUGUCACUAGUCACCCACUCACUCUGUCACUAGUCACCCCCUCUCUCACUCUGUCACCAGGCAUUCCUUCACUCUGUCACCAGUCAUCCCUUCCUUCCCUCACUC